rnacentral:tRNA from 1 species
GAGCCCGUAGCUCAGCUGGUAGAGCAGCGGACUUUUAAUCCGUGGGUCGCGGGUUCGAUCCCCGCCGGGCUCACCA